rnacentral:rRNA from 1 species
CUUGGUCAUUUAGAAGGAGUAAAAGUCGGAAGUAUAAAGUUAUAGGAAACACUUCGAGAUUGUGGAAGGAAAUCAAUGUGGAGAAAGGGCAAGCCGGGAGGUUUUAAGAUGCUGUUGACCCCCCCUGCAGCCCCCGGGGCGACCCUGCCCUCGGGCGCGGGCAGAAGGAGGACACUUGAUACUCUUGAAUAACUUUGCGCCUGAGUUUUACUAUUACUCUAAAAUACUUUUAACCCCGGACCUCUUGUAACGGGUCUCCAUAAAGAUUUCAGCGAAAUGUCUUUAGUCUUGCGAAUUGUCAAAUCCAAUGAAUCAACGAAUCUUUAAACGCAUAUUGCGCCCCCAGGGAAUCAGGGGGGCUUGGAACUCAGCUUGCCCUUUUUGCAAUUCCGAGGAGCAUGCCUGUGUGAAUGGCAUGUCCGCCGCGUGCCUCUGGUUUUUCGGGAGCGGCUUCUGUCGCAUAUACGGUGUGGAAACUAUUCGCUAAAGGCUGUUCAGGAAGCUACGCCACAGUUCACCCCCAGAUCUAAUCUCGACGUGAGAUUAGGUAGGGAUCCCCGCUGAAAUUAAGCAUAUCCUUACUCGGAGGA